rnacentral:rRNA from 1 species
AUUGAACGCUGGCGGCAGGCCUAACACAUGCAAGUCGAGCGAGCGGCGGACGGGUGAGUAAUGUAUGGGGACUGCACGAUAGCGGGGGAUAACUACUGGAAACGGUCGCUAAUACCGCAUACUAUCCGAUAACCCAUAUGGGAUGAGCUAGUUGGGGGGGUAAAGGCUCACCAAGGCAACGAUCCGUAGCUGGUUUGAGAGGACGACCAUCCACACUGGGACUGAGACACGGCCCAGACUCCUACGGAUGCAGCAGUGUGGAAUCUUGGACAAUGGGGGAAACCCUGAUCCAGCAAUCCCGCGUGUAUGAUGAAGGCCUUCGGGUUGUAAAGUACUUUUGGCAGAGAAGCGGUAUCUGCAGAAUAAGCACCGGCUAACUACGUGCCAGCAGCCGCGGUAAUUC